GGAAAGUUGGAUGAAAAUGACAAUGUUUCAAAGUUGGUGAUAAGUUGUUAUUGUUCACUAGUCACCGCGCCACUAUCGUUUUCAUUGUCCUGUUUACGGAUCGUAACUCUCUAUUGAUCAUGUCGAUAUUCCGUUUUAGACGACAGCUAACUACAUUCAAGCAAACGAGGAUGGAUUUAGUAAAUUUAGCAUUUGACACCUCGCCGCGAUUGAUCUCGAAGAAAGUCACGUGAAAAUACAUUGGUGUUCGGAAAGUAAUUUCGUUUUUUGACGCGAGUGUCGCUAAUUGAACGUUUAUCUAGCCAACUUCAUUCUAAACCGUGUUGUUAUUAUAUAUUUUGAGAGUUGAUAUUUCAUAGUUUAUUUAUACGAAAAAAUUCGUUUGAUUCUAUGAUUGUGUUUUUCGUGCGUGAUAACAAGAUGAACAAGACCAAAAGGAGUAUUUUCGGGAUAUUUUACUUUUUUUUGCUAUCGAAAAGAUAAGAAUACUGUUCACACAAGAAAAAAGUUACGCAGUUUAUGGAGAAAGUAUAUUAACAAUACACCAGUGUCAAAAUUGGUUUUCAAAAUUUCGUUUCGACAAUUUUAACAUUAAAGAUGCGUUCUGGAAGACUAGUUGAAGCUGAUGAAGACGAACUAAAGGCACUGAUCGAAGCAAACCGACGAAUAACAACUCGAAAAAUUACUACGAGAUUGAAUUUGAUUGAAUUUAUCGAAUUUGAUUGUUUACAAUCACGUGAAACAAUUUGAUGUUUCAUUAUCAUAAAAAAAAAAAGAAAGUACUUUCUGAACAAUACAAUAUAUAUAUUCAUUUACAAUUUCGAUUAUUCUUUUGAUAUUACAAUCUACGUGUAACCUGUUUUUGCAGAAGAUUAACAAAUUUGAAGUUUGUAUAUCCACCAUAUUGAUGAGAUAUACCAAUGGAUCAAAUAGUGAAAUGAGACCUGGGCAAGAAGGUUAAAGAAGAUUGUUCGUUCAGACUUGGUGCUUAAACUCGUCUCUGAACGCUUUAAUUACGGUGACGGGUGGCGACAGUGGGAAGAAGUAGAAAGAAGAAAGAGCGAGGAACAGGAAAAUAUUGCACGAGGCAAUAGGCGUGAAAUUAUUCGCAGGUCGGAAUAGAUCAGAAACAGAAGGAUACGGGAUGGUUGCUGGAAAAUAAGGGAAAAUGGUGGCUGGCCGGUCGUUUAUCGAUUAACAAUGAGGAAUUUUACAAAGGGAUAAUAGAGGAUCGUGAAAAGGAAUUAAAUAUUUCUAUACACAAGAUGCCCCAGUUCUUUGUCUCUUUGUCAAAACUUUAUCGACGUUCCCUUCAAGUGUGAACAAGAAGAGGAUAGAGAAUACAUUCUUAUCUAAGAAUCUAGAAGAAUCUGGUCUAUCAAUAGUUACAGUGAUUCUUUUUUUCAGACAUCGCACCUUUUUUAUAACAAAUCUAAAUACAAAUACAAGAAGCAAGACGAAUCAAUCUUCUCGCGCAUCUACGUAGAAAAUUACGAAACUUUAAAUGAAGUUCGUCGAGAUCGUUAAAAUGGACUUCCUUGUUUUAUACACCGGAUGUUUUUAUUUACAUUAAGUUAACGAAUAAUAGAUAUUAGACGAUCGAGAAAGUGGAUCAAUGGGAUACGUAAGAGCAUCGUAGAAGGAAAGACACGACGUUCCCUUUUCCAAAAUUAGUUUUUACUCGCGUUAUGAUCAAUUUAUUCACUCUCCACGUAUAUUACGUUGUUCGAAACUUUCU